CACACAGAUACACACCACACACACACCACACAGAUGCACACCCACACAUCAUCACACAGAUACCACACACACAUCACCACACAGAUACAUACACACAAUCACCACACAGAUACACACCACACACAUGCAUCACCACACAGAUACAUACCACACACACACAUCACACAGAUACACACCACACACACACAUCACCACAGAUACACACCACACACACACAUCACCACACAGAUACACACCACACACAUGACCAUACAGAUACACACCACACACACACAUCACCACACAGAUACACACCACACACACACACACACAUCACCACAGACACACACCCACACACCACCACACAAAUACACAUUACACAAACACCCACACAUCACACAAACACACAUCACCAAAUACAUGCCACACACACACAUCACCACAUAGAUACCACGUCACCACACAGAUACCACACACACAUCCACACAUCACCACACAGAUACACACCACACACACACACUCACACUUCACCAGAUUCACACCCCCACACAGAUAACACCAUACACAUCACUACACACAGAUACACACACAGUCACAUACACACCACACACACACACACACCAUCAUACCACACACAGAAACACAUCCACACAUCACCAUACACAGUCAGAUACGCACCACACACAAAUACACAUAACCACACACAGAGUCACAAAUACACCACACACAGACACAGGUAACCCUGGACAGUCACAUAUAACAAGCCUGCCUGACCAUGGCCAACCCUGCUCCAUUAAGCACAAGCAGGCGGUGCCCACCGUGAAGCAUCCACACCCCCACCCUCACACUGCCUGGUGGCUCUCACACAGUCACCGCACGUGAACAAAGCACCCC
rnacentral:lncRNA from 1 species